rnacentral:rRNA from 1 species
GACGAACGCUGGCGGCGUGCUUAACACAUGCAAGUCGAGCGGUAAGGCCCUUUCGGGGGUACACGAGCGGCGAACGGGUGAGUAACACGUGGGUGACCUGCCCUCAGCUCUGGGAUAAGCCUGGGAAACCGGGUCUAAUACUGGAUAUGACUCCAUGACGCAUGUUGUGGGGUGGAAAGCCUUGUGCGGCUGAGGAUGGGCCCGCGGCCUAUCAGCUUGUUGGUGGGGUGAGGCCUACCAAGGCGACGACGGGUAGCCGGCCUGAGAGGGCGACCGGCCACACGUGGGACUGAGACACGGGCCCAGACUCCUACGGGAGGCAGCAGUGGGGGAAUCUUGCGCAAGUGGGUCGAAAGCCUGACGCAGCGACGCCGCGUGAGGGAUGACGG